CUCCAAACUUGAACGAUAAAUCGAUCAAAAUCGAUAAAUCUGACUCACAACAAUAUUAAACUUGCCUAACAUUCGACUAAACGAAAACAAACUUCAACAAAAAAUAAAUAAAUAUUUAUUGUUAACGGUCAUUGACCUAACGAUCAAUAAACCAGACAAAUGAGACUGAGCAAAAAGCUCGAUGACUUUACUUUACGACGACAAGAAUAAUAUUAACGCGAACUAACUUAGUAACUAACGAAAACAACGAAAAAACAACGAUAAUUUAACAGCCAACAGUUUACGCGAUUUUACGAAAAGAACAAAAAAACCAUUUUAUACGUAACCAACAAUAUAUAUAUCGCGAAACUGAAAUUCUUUUUUAAUAAAAAAUAAAAACUUAAAAGUUACCGAACAUAGUUCGUUACGGUUACGAUUCCAAUUUUGCCAACACCCCACCAUAAAAAUAUUUUCCCUAACACGCGUACCACUUAAAUAAACGUGAAACUUGUUGCUUCUUAUCAAUACCGGUGUUAGUAAACACUUUGAAACAAAAUAUUUUUACAGCAAAAUUUCAGUUAAAUUAUACUUAAAUUACAUAAAAAACAACUCGAAAACUUAAUUUAAGCAUUAAACAAUGACUCACAGAGUCUAUCGAAUAUGGUACGUGUCGUGGCUUUGGUUAAAAUAUCGGCAAGUUGAUCCGCCGAAGAUAUCUUUUGCAAGUAAAUGAUCUGUUUUGUGACUAAAUCGCGUAUAUGAUGAUAACAGACAUCUAUAUGUCUGGUACGUUUGGAUUCGACCAUGUUCGCUACAGCAAUCGCUGCGUUCGAAUCACAGUACACCGGUACGGUAUCUAUACGAACUUCCAAUUCAAGAAAUAAAUUUCGCCAAGCCAAAACUUCCUUACCAGAUGAACUUAAAGCAACGUACUCCGCUUCACACGACGAAAGACUAACACAAUUUUGUUUCUUGACUACCCAGUCAAUUACGUUACCAUAAUGUAACACAAAAAUUCCAGACGUUGACUUCCUGUCUAAACAAUCACCAGCGAAGUCCGAAUCUACGUAUACUCUUACAGAGUAUUUAUCAACGACUUCAGGUAUUACGUAGGUAAGUUUCACGUUCAACGUACUACGUAAAUACCUGAGAAUACGCUUACUAUAUUCGAAUAGCUCCUUGUUUGCCAAGUGCUGGUAUCUGCUUAGAAAGUUUACAGCAAAAGCGAUAUCAGGACGUGUUCCCCUUGCUAUGUAACUUAAACUUCCUAAGAGACCACGCACUUUGGUUUCAUAACUUUUAUCGAGCUUGAGAUUGGUAAUCUUCAAGCCCGGUUCGAUUGGAGUUGAGAUACUAUUCGAAUUAGAUAAACCGUAAUCAUUAACUAACUGCUCGAUAUAUGAAUUUUGAUGUAUUUCUAAUUUUUCUUUACUACGAUUAAUUUCCAUUCCAAUGAACUUCUUGCAUUGUUCCAGGUCUCUGAUUCCAAAACGCUCAUUCAAUCGCUUGACCAACCACUCAAUUAGACGAUCAUCGCAACCUGUAAUUAGAAAAUCGUCUACGUAAACGACAAACACGCAACGUAGAGGAUUUUCGGCAUCGAAGUAGACACACGGAUCAACUUUGCUCCUUACGAAACCGAGCGAAAAUGCUGAAUACCAAACGUCUUUGAUCUCCAUCGCCUUUAACUCUUCAUCUAUCGCUACACGCCAAAAUUUCGACUCAGGACCGUUUAACGCUUCUUCAUACGUAAGGUCAUCGACCCCAGCGAGUGCAAAGCAAGCAAAAUCGUCGCUACGUUCAUCCGAAGAUGAUGUAUCGAUUAAACUACGAUCUACUAAAUUAUCACCGCUACGUUCAGCUUCAGUCAGCUCAUCUGGGUUUAUCCAAUUGGAGCAACCAGGAGCUGAAUCAACGUUACUUACUGGUGUAACCGUAGGUACGAUAUUCACAUCGCUUACACUCACUGAUACCGAUGUUUUUAACAAAUGAUCGUUAAUAACAUCGUGUAUCUUACGCGUUUCGUCUACUUCUACGCAACUCGAAUUCGUAAAUUUAUUUCGUAAAACAUCGUACAAUACAUAACCUGUCUCUGUAAAACCGAGUAAAACCAUAUCGAUCGACUU